UUCCCUUCUGAGUCUGAGAUAAAUGCUCAGCUCCAACCUUGCCUUGACUGAUCAGAACUCCUCAGUUCAUCUUCUCAGAAUGAGGCUCCCUGCUCAGCUCCUGGGGCUGCUAAUGCUCUGGGUCCCUGCCUCCAGUGGAGAUAUUGUGAUGACCCAGACUCCACUUUCCCUGCCUGUCACCCCUGGAGAGCCAGCCUCCAUCUCCUGCAGGUCUAGUCAGAGCCUCUUGGAUAGUGAUGGAUACACCUAUUUGUAUUGGUACCUGCAGAAGCCAGGCCAGUCUCCACAGCUCCUGAUCUAUGAGGUUUCCAACCGGGCCUCUGGAGUCCCAGACAGGUUCAGUGGCAGUGGGUCAGGCACAGAUUUCACACUGAAAAUCAGCAGGGUGGAGGCUGAGGUUGUUGGGGUUUAUUACUGCAUGCAAGCUCUACAAGCUCCUCCCACAGUGCUACAUCCUCGAACAGAAACCUCCGUGCUGGGUUGGCCCAGCUGCCCACAUGUGCUGCUUGUCCUGGGGAGCAGCUGUGCAGAGUCUCUGAGUCUGCAGAAGAGAAGGCUGUUGGAGACGUCAGGGCAGGGUUUGCUGCUGAGGACGCUGGUCCACGAGAGCCUCAGUAGCAACUCAGAUGUCACAUGUUAAGACCCCAACAGCAGUCACAGCCUGGGGAAGGCAUCAGGAGGAGGAGAAUCCAUGGGGGCCACAUGCCUUGGGAGCAACCAGCUAUGAUGAAGGGAGAGUGAAUGAAAGCUCACAUCCUCACCCUCCCUGUCUUGCCCACAUUUGUCAAGUUCAUGCAACUGUCAGAAUAACCAGACCAUGGAUGCAAUUUAGUGACAGCACAAGUAGAACACAUAUGGGAAAUGACCAGCUUGGGGUUUAUUUCACACACGAUGACACCUAGUCAUAUUGGGAAAUUCAUACUCUCCCAUCGUCCUAAUUCUGCUCUCUGACUCCCACUAAACCCUCCUCUGCAGUGUCUUACAGGUAAAAGCAUUCUACACAAGCUGUCUGCAGGGGAGUACAGCUAACACUUAGAAAAAAUGUUUGAUGUUGGAUUAUUCAGAUAGACUUUGUAAACUCAUGACAGGCAUGAGAGCUUAAUGUCAAAAGAUUGAUUACUGUUAAUUAUUAUUUGCCAAGUGAUAGCAGAGUUUUCCCAAUUCACAAUACCAAAAGUGGCCUUUGAAAAUAAACUGCAGAAAUUCAAGGAUGGAAAAUAUAAAGUUCAUUUCAAGUAAAAAAGGGAACAUUCAGAAUUAUGUGAGAUUUUUAUUUCUCUUCCAAAUUCUAAAGGUUUUGAAAGUAUUUAGGUUAAGUUCUAUUUUAGAGUAGAAAUGUAUUACUAUGUUGUCAAAAGAAAAGGUUUCAAAAAAUACAGAAAUGCAUUCUUUUCACAUGAUUAUAUCAUUACCUGAAAAUGAAUCUGAAUUCAAUGUUUUAGUUGUAAAUGCCUGGAGCGUCUAUGCUUUUCAUAGAUUUUAUUAAAUAUAGUGUUUUAAAUGAUAUUGAACCCAAUAAUGAGUCACAUGAGGUACAUAUAAUUACACUGUGUGAUAGACACAAAAUAAUGACAUAAUCAACAGAAGUUCUGCUUCAGGCUAAGCGUAGAAAGUACACUUGGAUGAUUGUUUAUUCAAAUAUAACAAAUUUCAUGGUAAGUGCAAUUAAAAUUCCAAAGUUCCACUUCUGUUAUGUUUAAAAAUUGUGUGGCAAUAUUUUUAUAUCUGUCAAUCACACUAGAGACUGCAAAUGAAAAAAAAAGUGACACCAUAUGUUUUCAAAAUACUGAUAAAUGAAUCAUUGAUCUUAAGAGUCAUUAUACAGAAUUCAGUUAAGGAACACAAAGUGUAUCGGGGCGUGGUGGCUCAUGCCUUUAAUCCCAACACUUUGGGAGGUCAAAACGGGCCAAUCCCCUGAGAUCAGGAGUUCAAGACCAGCCUGGCCAACAUGGUGAAACCCUGUCUCUACUAAAAAUACAAAAAUUAGCCUGGUGUGGUGGCAUGUGCCUGUAAUUCCAGCUACUCAGGAGGCUGAGGCAGGAGAAUCGCUUGAACCUGGGAGGUGGAGUUUGCAGUGAGCUGAGAUCGGCCAGUGCACUCUAGCCUAGUUAACAGGGUGAGACUCUGUCAAAAAAAAAAAAAAAAUGUGAGUAGUAUGACCCCGAGCUAAACAAUGAUAUCAUCAUCAUUAGCCCUCAUGGAAUUGAUUGCCUCUAGCGACCUUGAGUUUCUGCUUUGCUGUGAGACACAAGAUUGGUCCCAACCUAUUCAAGAUGGUUAGAUAUCUUAAAAAAACAAACAAACAACUUAUAUAAUGCUGAUGUAACAAAGGGCUAAACUCUCAAAACAAAAUGGUGAAAGGUAAACAAUCCCCUGAACCUUAGAGAAGAUACAAGCAGAAUCAAAAGCAGCUGGUACAAAGAAGCUUCUAGUUGCACUUGACCAAAUGUGACGAGGUUUCUGUGUCUGCGCCAUGGCAGUGGAGAGGCAGGUGGGUGGCCUUAGUGGUGUCGUUGACUCUGUUCCAUGAGGUCACUCUGGUGCACAGGAGGCGCGUCCACCCUUAGCACACAGCUUUCCUUCUUCCUCACAGUCACAGCCCCACGGCCGUCCUCAGAAGCAUGAGUGGAACAGAGUGAAGGGAAAGCUGUUUUCUUCCAAAGAUCAAAAAUCUUGAACUUUCAAAUAUGGAUAAAUGUUAUUUUUGCUCGAAGAACACAUUUGAGAAAUCUUCCAUUUAGCGGAUCUGAUGAUAAACUCACAUUUUUUGUUUCUUUUAAUCUGAAAAUGUAUCAGUAUGAUUCUUGGAAAUAAUUUUUUGCAUAUAAAGUAA